AACACGAAAAUCAUUUCUUCUUCUUCUUCAGCCUAAAGUGCUAUUUCUUCUGCUGAAAGCGUUCGAGACCCUCUCCGACGACCACUCAUCAUCCGUUCGCGGCCUCCUCCUCCGACCACCCAUCAUCCGUUCGCAACCUCCUCCGUUCGCGAUCUUCUCCGAACACAACCCAUUCUCCGUUUGCAACCUCCUCCGUUUGCGACCAUCCAUCCUCCGUUCGAUGACCACCCAUCUUGGCCGUCACCACCCUUUUUUCUACCAGUAUAGUUUUCACUAUUUCCCCUUAACUUAUUUCUAGGUUGCUAUUUCAAAACCUAAUUUCACCCCCUUUGUCUCUCAUUCUCGAUUUAUGCUGAUAGUCGUCUCACUCCACUGGAAAUUGUACCAGGUUUUGAUUUAUGAAGAAAAUACGCAAUUGAAAAGUGUCAAGUUUCCAGGUUUGUUUUUCUACCAUGUUUGUUUGUCUACCAUGCUUGUGUGUGUGCAACUAGUUUGUUUGACAAAUUUUCUUUGAUUUUAAAAAGCUCGUAGGUUCGCCUGAUGACACCAGCCUUGGAUUUCUCCGAAGUGAUUUUAUUGCAUGAUUCUAUUAGUUUUUGAAAUUGUUGAUUGUCAGGUGAUUUAGAAUUUGACAUGGUAAAGAACACAAUCCAAAGGAUUUUCGGACUCGUUAAACUCGAGAUAAUAUGUAUAUGUUGAAUUGUUUUUUUUUCUUUUUCGCGUGGGUUUAGAUUCUGUUAUAAACAAUGUGAAAUACAUAUUGUUUUUUCAUUUUCCUUCAGUGGUGCUGUAAAUGCGGAGACACACGAAGAAGUUGCUAUUAAGAAGGUUGGCAAUGUGUUUGACAGCAGAAUCGAUGCCAAAAGGACCUUACGAGAGAUUAAACUUCUACGACACAUGGAUCAUGAAAAUGUGAUAGUCCUUAAGGACAUUAUACGGCCUCCACAGACAAACAAUUUCAAUGAUGUUUACAUUGUUUAUGAGUUAAUGGAUACCAACCUGCAUCAAAUAAUCCAUUUGAGGAUGACCAAGUGUUGAUGGAGAAGUUAACGAAUUUGGCCCUUUGUGAUUUCAAAAAUGGUGCUGUUAAGAUUCAAAUGAUUCCAAAUACUGAUAAUUCAUAAUUGGAUUGAUUGCGAAGUCUACAUUGAGAGUUCAGUAUUACCUUGUUUCUAAUGCGAGGAUGUUAAUGUAGCAGCCAUUGAUAUAUGGUCUGUUGGUUGCAUCCUCGACAAAAUCGUGACAAGACCUAUUUCAUGGGACAAAUUAUGUUCAUCAGCUCAGAUUGAUCACAGAGCUCAUAGGUUCGCCCGAUGACACCAGCCUUGGAUUUCUACGAAGUGAUAAUGCUCGUAGAUAUGUAAGAAAACUUCCUCAAUAUCCAAGACAACAAUUUGCUGCCAGGUUUCCAACAUGUCUCCUGGUGCAAUUGAUUUAUUAGAGAGAAUGCUUGUUUUUGAUCCGAACAGAUGCAUUACAGGUAUAGAUUAUAACAAUUCUUCUCUUGACAGUAUA